AACAUUAACACCAUUUAUAUGGACAUACACGAUAUGGACAAAAAGUAUUGGGGAACACCUUUUAACCUGAAUUGACACUGAAUUUGCUAAUAUACUGGUUUAAUAAGGGGUACACUGAUGGAUCAUCAGGUACAGAAGUAUUGGCUUUGCAAAUGCUGGUAAAAAGUGGUACUGCUUAACCGCACUGUGCCAACUGAAACGUUUGGUAGAGGAGGGUUCAUGGUUUUUUUUUUUUUUGUCAUUCCUUGACAAAGGCGCUUACUUCCAGGGAUUUUGAAUGGACAUUUUCAGCUUACCAAGACUUUUUGCACAAUAGGAAGUGAAUGACUUGUUAGGCAUGUUAGUCCUGAAGCAGUUAAUCUUACGGAUGGGUUUGAUCCACACUUCAACGAACCCAACACACUGUACAUGUUUUUGGACUGUGUGAGAAUGUCUGUACGCAAACACUA